AGAAAGAAAACAACCGAUACUGUGUUCAUGACGCUGUUGUACUGUGUAACACAACUCACUUAUCCUGAUCUAGUACCAGCAACGUGAUUUGUCACACGUGAAGAUUCAUAUAAAAACAAAAGUACACGUCUUUUCACAAUAAAAUAAAUUAAUCUGGAAAGAUGAAAAUGAAACCUGUUGUAGUUGUGUUAGUUGUGCUGGUGUUGGCUCUCUGUGUGGUUCGUGUCAAUCCUCUUCAGAACGAGCAACUGGAAAGUAAGGUAUUGGAUUCCAAUAAAGUGGAAACUGAGAGCAGCAGAAGGGGUGGUAUAUUUUUCGCAAGAGGACCUAGGCUACGUACUCGGCGUCCUCCACGAAUCUCAUUGACAUGACGUGCAUCUGUAGAUGAUUGGAUUCCGCAGUCAUAAACCUGGAAAUUUCAUAGCCAAAAAAAAAAAAAAAAACAGGAAAAGAAUAUUUAGAAUGAUGCAUCUUUCCGGUUUUUGAACUUCUAUUUAACAUUCAAUUAAUACAUGUAGUUGGAAAUAUUUAUGUCCUAUCAGAAAAAGAGACACGAAAUAUAAAUGUUAUCGAAAACAUAUUGGUAGAAAUUUUUACCAAGUGUAUUAUCUGAGGAUGUCCAAGGGCGCACCUAUUAAAUCUGGAUUAUCUAAUAUAUGAGAGCAAAUAAUACUUUCUGUCUGGAUAUAUGUUAGACUAAAUCAUGUAAUUUCUAAUUAAUGUGUUUCCAUUUUGUACUCGCUCUCAUAAACACUACAUAGACGUAAUUUCUACAUUAUACUGCCACACCCAACAGCCACAAGGACACUCCAAGGUCGAAGAGGUCCAGGGGCUGAUAUUUAUCGAGGGAUGAUUUUGAUUGAGGGUGGGUAUGGGGUGUGAAAUGGAUAACGGUACAAGUCUUUUUUUAUUAGAUUUAGUAAACAUUAAAUGAUAUUAAAUGAGAAUUAGAACAUA